GAUUAUGGCUCAGGAUGAACGCUAGCGGCAGGCUUAACACAUGCAAGUCGAGGGGCAACGCGAGUAGCAAUACUUGGCGGCGACCGGCGCAAGGGUGCGUAACGCGUGAGCAACAUGCCCGUAUCAGGGGGAUAAUCCAGGGAAACUUGGUCUAAUACCCCAUAGUAAUUUUGUAAGGCAUCUUAUAAGAUUUAAAGCUUUGGUGGAUACGGAUUGGCUCGCGUGACAUUAGCUGGAUGGUAAGGUAACGGCUUACCAUGGCUAUGAUGUCUAGGGGUUCUGAGAGGAAGGUCCCCCACACUGGAACUGAGACACGGUCCAGACUCCUACGGGAGGCAGCAGUGAGGAAUAUUGGACAAUGGAUGGAAAUCUGAUCCAGCCAUGCCGCGUGAAAAGGAAGAAGGUCCUAUGGAUUGUAAACUUCUUUUGUAUGGGAGCAAUAAGGCCUACGUGUAGGUUGAUGAGAGUACCAUACGAAUAAGCACCGGCUAACUCCGUGCCAGCCGCCGC
rnacentral:rRNA from 1 species